rnacentral:tRNA from 1 species
GCCGGAGUGGCGGAAUAAGGCAGACGCGCCUGACUCAAAAUCAGGUGGGGCUCAAACCCCGUGCCGGUUCGAGUCCGGCCUCCGGCA